CAGGAGCCCAGUUCCUUCUGCAGGGAUCCCAAAGGGAAAGCAGUUCCUGACCAGGUGCAGACUUCCCUCCAGUCCCUCUCACAUCCACGUUGGCCAUCAGUUCACACUCAUGGAACUUGUAAACCCCUCCUGCUUCUUACUGUGGCUCUGGGACCUGGGAGCCUGGUAGACCUAUCUGAAGACUUCAUUUCUGGGGCGAUUGCAGCAUUGGAGAAGAGAAAGGAUACUUUGGAAGGUUCCCUUAGCCAAACAAGAACCCGAGGGGAGCCUGGGGUAGACAAGAUGUGGAUGAGGAGUGGAAGGAGUUGAAGGGAGCAGAGGGGCUGGAGAGCCUGUGUAAAGUCAAGUUUCCAGGUAACAGGAGAAUGCCCGGACCUGUCAUUCCUUUGGCAGCUAUAUGGUGUCUCCCUGGAGGCUCCUCUCUGUGUCCUCUUCCCAG
rnacentral:lncRNA from 1 species